CAUCACUCAAGUGCCUCGCACUUGAGGUGAUGAACCCAAUCCCCCGGGCAGCGCAGCAUUUGCAAACAAGGUUGUGCGCUUUUUUCAAGCCGCAGCGCAAUGGACAGAGACGUCCAUGAGCAGCGGAAGUUAAAAAAGCGGACAAGAUUGGCGGCAAAGGCAAGCGGGACAUUUGAGGAUGGGGUGACUGCGUACCUUUUGUAUAAUGGGUCAGCGACUUAUAUUCUGUAGCAAGGUUAACCGCAUAGGGGAGCCGUAGGGAAACCGAGUCUUAACAGGGCGCCAAGUUGCAGGGUAUAGACCCGAAACCCGGUGAUCUAGCCAUGGGCAGGUUGAAGGUUGGGUAACACUAACUGGAGGACCGAACCGACUAAUGUUGAAAAAUUAGCGGAUGACUUGUGGCUGGGGGUGAAAGGCCAAUCAAACCGGGAGAUAGCUGGUUCUCCCCGAAAGCUAUUUAGGUAGCGCCUCGUGAGGUCGUUUCCGGGGGUAGAGCACUGUUUCGGCUAGGGGUCCACCCCGGAUUACCAACCCGAUGCAAACUGCGAAUACCGGAAAACGUAUCACGGGAGACACACGGCGGGUGCUAACGUUCGUCGUGAAGAGGGAAACAACCCAGACCGCCGGCUAAGGUCCCGAAGUCAUGGUUAAGUGGGAAACGAUGUGGGAAGGCACAGACAGCCAGGAUGUUGGCUUAGAAGCAGCCAUCAUUUAAAGAAAGCGUAAUAGCUCACUGGUCGAGUCGGCCUGCGCGGAAGAUGUAACGGGGCUAAACCAUGCACCGAAGCCGCGGCAGCG
rnacentral:rRNA from 1 species